ACUUUGGGGCAGGGAGAACUCUACAUGGUCUAUAACUGUGACAGCUGUGAAGAGCAGGGGCAGGGGUCAGCUUUGUAGGGCAGGACCAAAGGAGCAAGCACCCUUUAGCUCAUGCUGCCCAGGCUAGACUGGCCUCCUUCCAGGCCAUUCCAGGGGAACUGCUGGGUCUAAACCUCAGACAUGUGAUGGCUGUCACUUGAAGCCAGCACAGAUGCUUCUGGACACUUCUGAGGGUGCCUUCCGAGGUGACUCUGCAACUCUGUUUUUCUUGCCAUGAGAUCAAGAUGUAGAACUCUCAGCUCCUCCAGCACAGAGCGAGUUCUAAGACAGCCAGGCUUAGACAGAGAAGGAAACCAUCAGACACAGAAAGCUGGUGAAGAUGUAACUGAGCAAGGGACGUGUUCCAGCCCCAGCCAGCAGCAGAACUUGGCAGCUUCAGCCACGUGGUUCUGGCUUUAGAGUCAAGGACAGAAGAAAGGGGUUAUAGAGUCUACCUUCUAUGACUAAGGAAAGGCACACAGGCCAGGUGUGUGUCGGAGGUGUCCCUGCAUGGAGGCCUAGAGAGACCAUUGCAUGAAGCUAUGAACGUGAAGCCUGGAUUGUAAUGGGAAGCCCAAGAGGUUGGAAAUACCAGAACCUCAGGAUACCUGAAGAGGAGAACUGCUAAUGGGGUCGAACCAGCUAAAGAGAAAGAAGUGUGCUGCAGUCAAUACAGUUGAACGCAACCGAUCUAAAGAGCACCUUGACUGCAAACAUGGCAAUGAAGAGUUUGGAGUUUGCCCAGCUGGUUUUCAGUCUUGCUUUGGUCCAUUAUCUUCUCACUGUGCUCUCUUUCUUCCCCUUUGCAACAAUAAAGUAUAUUCUGUGCCAUUUUA